AUUGAACGCUGGCGGCAGGCCUAACACAUGCAAGUCGAGCGGAUGAAGGGAGCUUGCUCCUGGAUUCAGCGGCGGACGGGUGAGUAAUGCCUAGGAAUCUGCCUGGUAGUGGGGGAUAACGUCCGGAAACGGGCGCUAAUACCGCAUACGUCCUGAGGGAGAAAGUGGGGGAUCUUCGGACCUCACGCUAUCAGAUGAGCCUAGGUCGGAUUAGCUAGUUGGUGGGGUAAAGGCCUACCAAGGCGACGAUCCGUAACUGGUCUGAGAGGAUGAUCAGUCAACAUGAAACUAGGAACCGGUCCAGAGUACGGCGGAAGGAAGAAGGUGGUAAUAGUGGGCGAGGGGCGACAACCUGGUCAAGCCAUGCGGCGUUGUUGAAGAAGGUCUUUGGAUUGAAAAUCAAUUUAAGUUGGGAGGAGGUGCAAUACGUUAAUACUUUGCUGUUUAGACGUAACAAACAGAAGAAGACCCGGAUAACUCCGUGCCAGCAGCCGAGGUAAUAAUCGAAACACCACACGUCUGCAC
rnacentral:rRNA from 1 species